rnacentral:misc_RNA from 1 species
GAUGAAGAACGUAGCGAAAUGCGAUAAGUAAUGUGAAUUGCAGAAUUCAGUGAAUCAUCGAAUCUUUGAACGCACAUUGCGCCCCUUGGUAUUCCGAGGGGCAAGCCUGUUCGAGCGUCAUUAUAACCCCUCAAGCUCAGCUUGGUGUUGGGGCCUGCUGCACUGGCAGCCCUUAAAAUCAGUGGCGGCGCCAUCUGGCUCUAAGCGUAGUAAUUCUUCUCGCUAUGGAGUCCUGGUGGAUGCUUGCCAUCAACCCCCAAUUUUUCUAUGGUUGACCUCGGAUCAGGUAGGGAUACCCGCUGAACUUAAGCAUAUCAAUAAGCGGAGGA